UACGGGAGGCAGCAGUGGGGAAUAUUGCACAAUGGGCGGAAGCCUGAUGCAGCGACGCCGCGUGAGGGAUGAAGGCCUUCGGGUUGUAAACCUCUUUCAGCAGGGACGAAGCGUGAGUGACGGUACCUGCAGAAGAAGCACCGGCUAACUACGUGCCAGCAGCCGCGGUAAUACGUAGGGUGCGAGCGUUGUCCGGAAUUACUGGGCGUAAAGAGUUCGUAGGCGGUUUGUCGCGUCGUUUGUGAAAACCCGGGGCUCAACUUCGGGCUUGCAGGCGAUACGGGCAGACUUGAGUGUUUCAGGGGAGACUGGAAUUCCUGGUGUAGCGGUGAAAUGCGCAGAUAUCAGGAGGAACACCGGUGGCGAAGGCGGGUCUCUGGGAAACAACUGACGCUGAGGAACGAAAGCGUGGGUAGCAAACAGGAUUAGAUACCCUGGUAGUCCACGCCGUAAACGGUGGGCGCUAGGUGUGGGUUCCUUCCACGGGAUCUGUGCCGUAGCUAACGCAU
rnacentral:rRNA from 3 species